rnacentral:rRNA from 1 species
GAGUUUGAUCCUGGCUCAGAGUGAACGCUGGCGGUAGGCCUAACACAUGCAAGUCGAACGGCAGCACAGAGGAGCUUGCUCCUUGGGUGGCGAGUGGCGGACGGGUGAGGAAUACAUCGGAAUCUAUUCUGUCGUGGGGGAUAACGUAGGGAAACUUACGCUAAUACCGCAUACGACCUACGGGUGAAAGCAGGGGACCUUCGGGCCUUGCGCGAUUGAAUGAGCCGAUGUCGGAUUAGCUAGUUGGCGGGUAAAGCCCACCAAGGCGACGAUCCGUAGCUGGUCUGAGAGGAUGAUCAGCCACACUGGAACUGAGACACGGUCCAGACUCC